rnacentral:rRNA from 1 species
AACGAACGCUGGCGGCAGGCCUAACACAUGCAAGUCGAGCGAGCGGCGGACGGGUGAGUAGCGCGUGGGAAUUUUCCUCAGGUACGGAACAACUCAGGGAAACUUGGGCUAAUACCGUAUGGGAUAAGCCCGCGUCAGAUUAGGUAGUUGGUGGGGUAACGGCCUACCAAGCCUGCGAUCUGUAGCUGGUCUGAGAGGACGAUCAGCCACACUGGGACUGAGACACGGCCCAGACUCCUACGGGAGGCAGCAGUGGGGAAUCUUGCGCAAUGGGCGAAAGCCUGACGCAGCCAUGCCGCGUGAAUGAUGAAGGUCUUAGGAUUGUAAAGUUCUUUCGCCCGUGAUGACGGUAACGGGAGAAGAAGCCCCGGCUAACUUCGUGCCAGCAGCCGCGGUAAUACGAAGGGGGCUAGCGUUGUUCGGAAUUACUGGGCGUAAAGCGCGCGUAGGCGGUUUUGCAAGCCAGAGGUGAAAUGCCUGAGCUCAACUUAGGAAUUGCCUUUGGGACUGCGAGGCUUGAGGACUGGAGAGGUGAGUGGAAUUCCCAGUGUAGAGGUGAAAUUCGUAGAUAUUGGGAAGAACACCAGUGGCGAAGGCGGCUCACUGGCCAGUUUCUGACGCUGCAGCGCGAAAGCGUGGGGAUCAAACAGGAUUAGAUACCCUGGUAGUCCACGCUGUAAACUAUGAAUACUAAGUGUCGGUGCCGCAGCUAACGCAUUAAGUAU